UGUUAUUUUGGGAGUGUUGUUGUGUUUGAACUUCCUGUGUGUUAUUCUUUGGCCAUUGUUUAGUUCCUUAUGAGCUUAUUAUUCUUGUGUUGAUCGUUCGUUGAACUCAUUACUAAUACGGUUAAGCGUGUGGUUAGGUAACGAGCUGAGUAAUCGGGAGGUGCCAAAACCGUAAAUUGGCAUACUUCGGUCGACUCACAGGUUUGUGGAGUGAGUCACACCUUGUCGUGGGCCGUGCCGUUCUAUUUACGGUGAAUGGGAGCUUGGUGUGCGGGACACAAUACCUUGGGUACAUGGGAUGUGGCAGACGUGUCACUGCAUGUGUUGUGAACAUAAAUUAUAGUUGUUCAGUUAGUUGUUUAUGUUGAGUUUUAUUGGAUUUAUUCUAUAUCUUACACACUCCUGAUUUUCUUUUGGAUUGCCAGAUAGCAAGGGUUUGUAGGAUGGUCCACUACCGGUCGGCGUUUUGGGAUUGGCUUUGAGGAUGUUGAUUGUGUCGGUGGUAGUGAGUUGUCUUGUAUAUAUAAUCGACUCGUUUUGUAAAGGAUGUUUUGCACUUUAGUUUGCCAAGUAUGUAAAGUUAUGGGUAUAACGUCGACUCUUUUAAAAAUAUUAAUGUUAAGUCUUCCGCUGGUUUAUUCUGAGUUAA